GACGAACGCUGGCGGCGUGCUUAACACAUGCAAGUCGAACGGAAAGGCCCUGCUUUUGUGGGUUGCUCGAGUGGCGAACGGGUGAGUAACACGUGAGUAACCUGCCCUUGACUUUGGGAUAACUUCAGGAAACUGGGGCUCAUACCGGAUAUGAGCUCCUGCUGCAUGGUGGGGGUUGGAAAGUUUCGGCGGUUGGGGAUGGACUCGCGGCUUAUCCGCUUGUUGGUGGGGUAGUGGCUUACCAAGGCUUUGACGGGUAGCCGGCCUGAGAGGGUGACCGGCCACAUUGGGACUGAGAUACGGCCCAGACUCCUACGGGAGGCAGCAGUGGGGAAUAUCGCACAAUGGGCGGAAGCCUGAUGCAGCAACGCCGCGUGCGGGAUGACGGCCUUCGGGAUGUAAACCGCUUUCGCCUGUGACGAAGAGUGAGUGACGGUAAUGGGUAAAGAAGCACCGGCUAACUACGUG
rnacentral:rRNA from 1 species